rnacentral:misc_RNA from 1 species
AAGGAUCAUUAUCGAGCCGGCCCCAACGACCCCAUCGUUCACGGGGGGACCAACAUCCGUGGGUCCAAGAAGAUCCACGGGUGGCCUCGCGUGGACUAUGAUGGGGGCGCGGCCGUGACCUCAACCGUGCCUACCUUUACCUGUUGCCUCGGCGGACCGACCGUCAGAAGUCGACCCGGACCGGCCGCGAGGCCGUCCGGGCCCGCGUCCGCCAGAGGGAUUAAAAACCUCAACCUUCAUGUGGAACGUCUGAGUCACUAUUGAAAAUAGUUUAAAACUUUCAACAACGGAUCUCUUGGUUCCA